UACGAGAGGCCCAAACGUUGUUCGGAAUCACUGGGCUUAAAGGGCGCGUAGGCGGGCGGCCAAGUCGGAGGUGAAAGCCUGCAGCUCAACUGCAGAAGUGCCCCCGAUACUGGCCGCCUCGAGGGAGGUAGGGGCAUGUGGAACUUCCGGUGGAGCGGUGAAAUGCGUAGAUAUCGGAAGGAACGCCGGUGGCGAAAGCGACGUGCUGGACCUCUACUGACGCUGAGGCGCGAAAGCCAGGGGGAAGGACAAACACGGG
rnacentral:rRNA from 1 species